GAUGAACGCUGGCGGCGUGCCUAAUACAUGCAAGUCGAGUGAACAGACGAGGAGCUUGCUCCUCUGACGUUAGCGGCGGACGGGUGAGUAACACGUGGAUAACCUACCUAUAAGACUGGGAUAACUUCGGGAAACCGGAGCUAAUACCGGAUAAUAUAUUGAACCGCAUGGUUCAAUAGUGAAAGACGGUUUUGCUGCCACUUAUAGAUGGAUCCGCGCCGCAUUAGCUAGUUGGUAAGGUAACGGCUUACCAAGGCAACGAUGCGUAGCCGACCUGAGAGGGUGAUCGGCCACACUGGAACUGAGACACGGUCCAGACUCCUACGGGAGGCAGCAGUAGGGAAUCUUCCGCAAUGGGCGAAAGCUUGACGGAGCAACGCCGCGUGAGUGAUGAAGGUCUUCGGAUCGUAAAACUCUGUUAUUAGGGAAGAACAAAUGUGUAAGUAACUAUGCACGUCUUGACGGUACCUAAUCAGAAAGCCACGGCUAACUACGUG
rnacentral:rRNA from 1 species